CGAGACGAGUCGAUGGUAGAACUGCUUGGUCUAUCGAAGAGCAAGCAUCUUUUCGGAGAGAAAUCGUUUCAUUGACAAAUAAAACGCGCUUUACUUUUCGCUUAUGUUGAAUUUGAAAAUUGUCUCGAGAUGCAGUACCGUUAUAACAAUAUUAUUUGACUCAUUAAUUUAUUAAUUAUUAAUUGCAAUUAAUUUACCAAAUAAUUAAAGCUGUCCUUAGUAACAAAUUGUAUAUAAUAUUUUAUGCUUUCUUAUAGAUUUCUUCCAGCCUGCGUUUCCUCCAUGGGACUCGACGAUUCUAAUUUGAUGGCUUCGUCGCUUCACGAAAACUUCCCUUGAACCGUGAUGAUAUCAAUGACACAAUAUUCGUCCCAUCUAAACGUGUCGGCAAUCCCGCGGACGACACAUAGCGCGUCGACAGUACCUCUUCUCGGGAACUCUCAGGAAGAGUUCCUGGCUCAGGUUCCUCUCGACGAGGGCUUUGAUGUUCCCACACCUUGGUCGACACUGGCAGAGUACCAAUAAGCCUCAACGAGGUAGAGAGAAGGGGAUCCUUCCUAGAUUUGGGGAAGACCGCCACUGUAGCCACCUUUCAAAUUUUUGGUACCCCAUCCACGUCAGCAGUUUUUCCGGAGUUUAAUCGUCUGACGGCCUUCUUCACUUCAUCCCGCUAUACUACGAUGCUGAGCGCUUUAUUCUCGUUGCUGCCAUGGGUCAUUUCACCACCGAUUUCAUCAACCCGUGGGACAGGCUUCGUCUGGAAAAGCGUGCCUCAAGGAUUUUCGCCACUCCGCAGACACGAAGAUUUUUUGGUGGUACUCUCCUGCCCAUUCUAGCCAUCGCGGUCCAGUAAAGUCUCCCUUAAGAAUGGUCUCAGUCAAGGGUAGCGCAAAAAUGUUUCUCCUCUACUUUUUAGGCUAACUUUAGCUAUUUUCCUGCAUCCUUAAACCUUUCGCUUCAGGUGCCGCGUAUAAGCAGCGACCGCGCGACGUUUCCUGGGCUCGGCAGCCCAUAUAUCAGGCAUACACCAAUGCCAGUGAAUAAUAUAUUUUUUCGUUAUCGGCAGAACAUUUUCAAUUGAUUUUACUGAUAUAUUGGAUCAAUCACUUCUUAAAAGUUACUCAUUUUUGAAACGACAACAAUAAAAUUUCAAACAUCCAAACUAUCGUAUACUGUUUCGUGCUAAAAAAUCUGUUCAAUGCUUUGGUAGUGAAACGAUAUUUCAUAUACGGUUCUUACAAGAAUUAUUGUUAUUUAAGCCUUGGGAAAACGUAUAUACAGUAACCACGCACACUGUGCGCAUUUCUGGCGCGUGCUUCCGUGACAGUACUUUAGCGGACUGAACUGCCGAAGCGAAAGGGUUAAAGGUUCUAGUUUGUCAGCAUUAUUGGAAUUAUUUAUUCUUACCCCUUGGAUCUUUCUUCUACAUAGCAUUGUUUUUACCCUCAGUGCGGAUAGGUCUCCGUUCCACCAGUAGUUUGCACCCUUCCUCUCACCAAGGAGAACGUCUUUUGUAGUUUUGCAGCACUUGUUUUUCAAGACUCUCUUUAAACAAAUCUCCGUGUACCUUCUCGUCUACCAUAGCGUUGUCAAUUACUUUCUCAAGUUCUUCGUUAAAUUUAAGGAUAAAAUUAUCUGGGUCGAUGCCCUUCAUAGAAUAUUUAAAGCGACAGCUUUUUCUUCAAAAGUUUUACCAUAAAAUUCGCGAUAAACAUACUGGUGGUCGUAGCACACGAACUUGAUCCGAACCCAACCAGAAUCUCGCAAAAUAAUAUGCCAAAUGCAUAUUGUAAAUAUGUAAAUACUAAAAAUAACGUAGGUGUAAUAAAUGAGAUGCAAUUUUUA